rnacentral:rRNA from 1 species
UACGUAGGGUGCGAGCGUUAAUCGGAAUUACUGGGCGUAAAGCGUGCGCAGGCGGUUCGUUGUGUCGGUGGUGAAAGCCCCGGCUUAACCUGGGAAUGGCCGUCGAAACUGGCGAACUGGAGUGUGGCAGAGGGGGGUGGAAUUCCGCGUGUAGCAGUGAAAUGCGUAGAGAUGCGGAGGAACACCGAUGGCGAAGGCAGCCCCCUGGGCUGACACUGACGCUCAGGCACGAAAGCGUGGGGAGCAAACAGG